CAGGAGCGGGUCAACGCCCUGAACAACAAGCAUCCGCGCGGGUGCUUAGCUGGAGCCCCCAGGGUGUGAGGCGCUGCAAAGCCCAGGUCCCCAGGGGACAAGUCGGAGAAGGGGCUCUGCCCUUAACCUUGGGCCAACCAGCGAUGGACAGAGCCCUGUCAACCCUUGCAGGUAGAGGAAGUGAGCGAAUUUUUAGGGCCGUCCUGGAAGUUCUCUGGUUAUCAUACGGUGACUUGAGCUGAGAGAGGGGAUUGAAUAUGAGCAGUCGGUCACUCGGAUCGGACGACUGGAGUCACGGAGAUAAUACAGGAGACUGUAUGCCGCCCCUAGAGCAAGGGGAACAGGUGGGUGUCACCAGGAGCCUGGAAGCCAGGAUGA